GACAGAGGGUGCAAACGUUGUUCGGAUUUACUGGGCGUAAAGGGCGUGCAGGCGGUCUGUUAAGUUCAGGGUGAAAGCUCCCGGCUCAACUGGGAGAGGUCCUUGGAUACUGGCAGACUUGAGGGAGGUAGAGGAGAGUGGAAUUCCCGGUGUAGUGGUGAUAUGCGUAGAUAUCGGGAGGAACACCAGUGGCGAAGGCGGCUCUCUGGGCCUUUCCUGACGCUGAGACGCGAAAGCGUGGGGAGCGAACCGG
rnacentral:rRNA from 1 species